CGCUGAUGUCACAGUGGGGGCAUCCCCUGAGAAGCGCUGAGGUUUAAGUUUUCCACCAACAGAGAGAAAUAAGAGCUGAGUCAGAAAUAAGUGCAGUUAUGGACACUAGGGAAUGUUACAUUUCUUUCAUGUUUUAGUUCAUGGACUAAGAAUCACGUCCACAAGAAUAGUGUCUAUUGAACCUCUUCCAUGUUCCAGACACCUUCGGACUCCUAAGCUCUCUGCAAUCCUCACCAUAGCUGCUCAAGCUAAGUGUGAUUUUUCCCACUCUCGUUCUCCAUUUCCCAGGUGACAGGCCGAUGCUCAGAGAGAUGAAGUGAUUGGCCCAAAGACGAGCAGUGAGCUCUUGGUGGAAGUACCCAGCUCCUGUCCAUCUGCUCCAAGAACAAUAAGAAAAUCUCAAGGUACAAAAUCCAUGCGGAUGAGGCCCAGGUUGGAGAAGCAUCAAAUCACAAAUACAUGAAGCAUUCAAAGCCAUUCCAUCCUGCCCUCCCCCCUGGAGGGGAGAGAAUGAAUUCCUGGAUAUCAAGUGGCCAAAGUCACCCCGGAGAGGCCUGGGCUCCCGAGCGCCCACCGUGCCCCAUCGCGAGCCCCUUCCCUCUGUGGGAAGCACAACACCUCCCCUCCCCUCCCCAUGCCCCUUGCUCAGAAGCAACGGUGUCCAAGACACACGGUUAAGGACGGGGGCUGGUCCACUGGGCUGCAUGCAGAUGCAAACUUCCUCGAGAUCUAGGGCAGCUGACUGCUAACAAAUGAAUGUUUCCAUGGAAGACAGAAAUCAAAACUCCUUUUGCUAAAAAUACUGGGGAGGAAGGAAGGGUGUGGCCUCAGGAAACGGGACAAUGCAUUGAGCUCUGUGCCUGUGAUGGAGAUCUCCGCCCAGGCCCUGCUCCCUCGCCACAUCGAGGCCAGAACCCUGCCACCCUGCUGCUUUCUGUCCUCCUCCUCCUCCUCCUCCUCCUCCUCCUCCUCCUCCUUCUUCUUCUUCUUUCUUCUUUCUUCUUCUUUCUUUUUCUUCUUCCUCUUCCUC